CAUUUAGUCUAGCCGCCUGUUUUCUGUUGCAGCUUGGACGGGAACCCGGAUCUUUGCCUGGGAAGUUCUUGCCCACAGGCGAAGAAUAAAAAAUCCAUUGUUGUCCCGGUUGCUGCAUCGGUUUCAGCCUUCUUUGUAGUUCUCUUGUGUGCUUCGGCAAGUAUUUGGUUGAUCAAAAGGAAACAGACGGCAGAAUCCAAAAUAAGAAGAUCAAUAUCCUUCAAGCAUGGCGAUAUUUCGAGGAUAACCAACAAUUUUGAUACACCUAUUGGUGAAGGAGCAUCUGGAAUAGUAUAUCAUGGUGAAUUAGAAGGCACAGAAGUUGCUGUGAAGGUGCUCUCUAAAUCAUCCGAGGCUGAAUCCUCAGGGCAGCCAGACAAGCCAUUUCUAGCUGAGGCACAGCUCUUAACAAAGGUCCACCAUGGAAACUUGGUUUCCCUUAAAGGAUACUGUGAUGACUCUAAAAAUAAGGCAUUAAUAUAUGAAUUCAUGGCUAACGGAAAUUUAAAACAACACUUAUCAGGUACUUCAUCAUGUUUUGUAUGUUUCUCUAUUCUCUAGAAUGAAUCCCACAAACAUUCGUUUCUUUCUCAAACAUUAGGGAGGAUGUGGGGUAAAAGGGCCAAGCCAGAUGUCUUGACUUGGGAUAGGAGACUACGAAUUGCUGUAGACGUGGCACAAGGUUUAAAUUAUCUCCAUAAUGAUUGCAACCCGUCCAUCAUCCACAGAGACAUCAAGACUACAAAUAUCUUGUUGAAUGAAAACAUGCAAGCCAAAAUAUCCGACUUCGGUCUGUCGAGAGCUUUGGCAACUCCAAAUAGUUCUUACAAGUCAAGCAAUCCUUGGGGCACUCCUGCCUACUGCCCCCUGAGUAUGGACCAUCCACUUAUGACUUAACCAAUAAAAGUGAUGUCUACAGUUUCGGGAUCGUGCUCCUUGAGCUAAUUUCAGGACAUCCAGCAAUCAAUACAAGUGAAGAUGGAAAAAGCGUGCCCAUACGUGACUGGGCAAUUCCAAAGUUCCCAAAAGAAUAUAUACGCGGACUAAUUGAUCCAAAGGUGGGACAAAAUUUUGACAUCAACUCAGCUGAGAUAGUAGCAAAGGUUGCAGAGUCUUGUAUACAAACCGAACCAGGUGCAAGGUGGGACAUAAAUCGUGUUUUGAUAGAAUUGAAGAGGGCGAGUGAAUUGGCAUCCAAGCACAAGUAUGCGGAUGGAAAUCAAGGGGAGCAUAUAGGAGCGACCUCCUUGGAAGUUGAAUAAGAUAGUGCACCCCUAGUAAGGGCAGUUCAUUCGAUCCAUUAGUAUUCGUCGACUUUGGUUGUGAAAUUUUGGCAACUCCCAGUACUAAAAUCAAGUCUUCAUAUAUUUUGAAUUUGUGUCUCUAUAUAAGUAUGAAUGCCUGAAGACUAUUCUCGACCAUGUCAUUAUAAGUGUUGAGUGAACAUUAUCUUUUGAUUUCAUCAACUUCAUUGAUGAUUGUAAAUUGUUCACAUCGUUUCUAAAUUAUAGUUAGUAACUUGAUCA